AUUGAACGCUGGCGGCAGGCUUAACACAUGCAAGUCGAGCGGAGAUGAGGUGCUUGCACCUUAUCUUAGCGGCGGACGGGUGAGUAAUGCUUAGGAAUCUGCCUAUUAGUGUGGGACAACAUUCCGAAAGGAAUGCUAAUACCGCAUACGCCCUACGGGGGAAAGCAGGGGAUCUUCGGACCUUGCGCUAAUAGAUGAGCCUAAGUCGGAUUAGCUAGCUGGUGGGGUAAAGGCCUACCAAGGCGACGAUCUGUAGCGGGUCUGAGAGGAGGAUCCGCCACACUGGGACUGAGACACGGCCCAGACUCCUACGGGAGGCAGCAGUGGGGAAUAUUGGACAAUGGGGGGAACCCUGAUCCAGCCAUGCCGCGUGUGUGAAGAAGGCCUUAUGGUUGUAAAGCACUUUAAGCGAGGAGGAGGCUACUGAGACUAAUACUCUUGGAUAGUGGACGUUACUCGCAGAAUAAGCACCGGCUAACUUCGUGCCAGCAGCCGCGGUAAUAC
rnacentral:rRNA from 1 species